rnacentral:rRNA from 1 species
UUAAGCGACUAAGCGUACACGGUGGAUGCCCUGGCAGUCAGAGGCGAUGAAGGACGUGCUAAUCUGCGAUAAGCGUCGGUAAGGUGAUAUGAACCGUUAUAACCGGCGAUUUCCGAAUGGGGAAACCCAGUGUGUUUCGUCACACUAUCAUUAACUGAAUCCAUAGGUUAAUGAGGCGAACCGGGGGAACUGAAACAUCUAAGUACCCCGAGGAAAAGAAAUCAACCGAGAUUCCCCCAGUAGCGGCGAGCGAACGGGGAGCAGCCCAGAGUCUGAAUCAGUGUGUGUGUUAGUGGAAGCGUCUGGAAAGGCGCGCGAUACAGGGUGACAGCCCCGUACACAAAAAUGCACAUAUUGUGAGCUCGAUGAGUAGGGCGGGACACGUGGUAUCCUGUCUGAAUAUGGGGGGACCAUCCUCCAAGGCUAAAUACUCCUGACUGACCGAUAGUGAACCAGUACCGUGAGGGAAAGGCGAAAAGAACCCCGGCGAGGGGAGUGAAAAAGAACCUGAAACCGUGUACGUACAAGCAGUGGGAGCCUCUUUUAUGGGGUGACUGCGUACCUUUUGUAUAAUGGGUCAGCGACUUAUAUUCUGUAGCAAGGUUAACCGAAUAGGGGAGCCGAAGGGAAACCGAGUCUUAACUGGGCGUUAAGUUGCAGGGUAUAGACCCGAAACCCGGUGAUCUAGCCAUGGGCAGGUUGAAGGUUGGGUAACACUAACUGGAGGACCGAACCGACUAAUGUUGAAAAAUUAGCGGAUGACUUGUGGCUGGGGGUGAAAGGCCAAUCAAACCGGGAGAUAGCUGGUUCUCCCCGAAAGCUAUUUAGGUAGCGCCUCGUGAAUUCAUCUCCGGGGGUAGAGCACUGUUUCGGCAAGGGGGUCAUCCCGACUUACCAACCCGAUGCAAACUGCGAAUACCGGAGAAUGUUAUCACGGGAGACACACGGCGGGUGCUAACGUCCGUCGUGAAGAGGGAAACAACCCAGACCGCCAGCUAAGGUCCCAAAGUCAUGGUUAAGUGGGAAACGAUGUGGGAAGGCCCAGACAGCCAGGAUGUUGGCUUAGAAGCAGCCAUCAUUUAAAGAAAGCGUAAUAGCUCACUGGUCGAGUCGGCCUGCGCGGAAGAUGUAACGGGGCUAAACCAUGCACCGAAGCUGCGGCAGCGACGCUUAUGCGUUGUUGGGUAGGGGAGCGUUCUGUAAGCCUGUGAAGGUGUGCUGUGAGGCAUGCUGGAGGUAUCAGAAGUGCGAAUGCUGACAUAAGUAACGAUAAAGCGGGUGAAAAGCCCGCUCGCCGGAAGACCAAGGGUUCCUGUCCAACGUUAAUCGGGGCAGGGUGAGUCGACCCCUAAGGCGAGGCCGAAAGGCGUAGUCGAUGGGAAACAGGUUAAUAUUCCUGUACUUGGUGUUACUGCGAAGGGGGGACGGAGAAGGCUAUGUUGGUCGGGCGACGGUUGUCCCGGUUUAAGCGUGUAGGCUGGUUUUCCAGGCAAAUCCGGAAAAUCAAGGCUGAGGCGUGAUGACGAGGCACUACGGUGCUGAAGCAACAAAUGCCCUGCUUCCAGGAAAAGCCUCUAAGCAUCAGGUAACAUCAAAUCGUACCCCAAACCGACACAGGUGGUCAGGUAGAGAAUACCAAGGCGCUUGAGAGAACUCGGGUGAAGGAACUAGGCAAAAUGGUGCCGUAACUUCGGGAGAAGGCACGCUGAUAUGUAGGUGAAGUCCCUCGCGGAUGGAGCUGAAAUCAGUCGAAGAUACCAGCUGGCUGCAACUGUUUAUUAAAAACACAGCACUGUGCAAACACGAAAGUGGACGUAUACGGUGUGACGCCUGCCCGGUGCCGGAAGGUUAAUUGAUGGGGUCAGCGCAAGCGAAGCUCUUGAUCGAAGCCCCGGUAAACGGCGGCCGUAACUAUAACGGUCCUAAGGUAGCGAAAUUCCUUGUCGGGUAAGUUCCGACCUGCACGAAUGGCGUAAUGAUGGCCAGGCUGUCUCCACCCGAGACUCAGUGAAAUUGAACUCGCUGUGAAGAUGCAGUGUACCCGCGGCAAGACGGAAAGACCCCGUGAACCUUUACUAUAGCUUGACACUGAACAUUGAGCCUUGAUGUGUAGGAUAGGUGGGAGGCUUUGAAGUGUGGACGCCAGUCUGCAUGGAGCCGACCUUGAAAUACCACCCUUUAAUGUUUGAUGUUCUAACGUUGACCCGUAAUCCGGGUUGCGGACAGUGUCUGGUGGGUAGUUUGACUGGGGCGGUCUCCUCCUAAAGAGUAACGGAGGAGCACGAAGGUUGGCUAAUCCUGGUCGGACAUCAGGAGGUUAGUGCAAUGGCAUAAGCCAGCUUGACUGCGAGCGUGACGGCGCGAGCAGGUGCGAAAGCAGGUCAUAGUGAUCCGGUGGUUCUGAAUGGAAGGGCCAUCGCUCAACGGAUAAAAGGUACUCCGGGGAUAACAGGCUGAUACCGCCCAAGAGUUCAUAUCGACGGCGGUGUUUGGCACCUCGAUGUCGGCUCAUCACAUCCUGGGGCUGAAGUAGGUCCCAAGGGUAUGGCUGUUCGCCAUUUAAAGUGGUACGCGAGCUGGGUUUAGAACGUCGUGAGACAGUUCGGUCCCUAUCUGCCGUGGGCGCUGGAGAACUGAGGGGGGCUGCUCCUAGUACGAGAGGACCGGAGUGGACGCAUCACUGGUGUUCGGGUUGUCAUGCCAAUGGCACUGCCCGGUAGCUAAAUGCGGAAGAGAUAAGUGCUGAAAGCAUCUAAGCACGAAACUUGCCCCGAGAUGAGUUCUCCCUGACCCUUUAAGGGUCCUGAAGGAACGUUGAAGACGACGACGUUGAUAGGCCGGGUGUGUAAGCGCAGCGAUGCGUUGAGCUAACCGGUACUAAUGAACCGUGAGGCUUAACCUU